CAAGCCCGAACCCCGCCCGACCCACAUGGAGACAGUUCAAUGGACAAACAACGAGAGGUGAAGUUAUCAAACCAAGAGUGCUUACAUUGACAGCUUGAGGCACAGGACUAAUUUCUACUGCAUUUGGCAACAUGAGUAUGAAUCACUUGAUCCACCAAGACUUGAACGAGCUGUGGAGGACAAGUAGUUGGUACCUGACAAAGGCCACUGUGAUGGGCAUUACUUGGACCGGGUACCACCUGGAAAACUCGCAGUUGUGCCCCGAAUGAUUGUGCACCGUCCUCUAAUCACUCGAACGUGAUGCCACACUUACAACUACUGUGGG